UGAGAGAGGUGAGCCUAGGCAACUGGGGCAUCUAUAAAGGAAGGCAGAGUUAGACAGCAAGCUUUCUUUUUUCAGUAGGGCUCAGCUGGCUGGAGUUAGCAGGAGAUGAGAGAGGCUUUGUUAGUGGUGUAUACCACCUACUUUUAGAUAUAGCUCAGUGGGGAACUUUCUUUGUUGGGUAUGGGAGGGGUUUGGCUUUUGCUAGUCCUCUCUUCUCAGAUAGAGUCAGGCUCUUCAAAGAACAAAGUUAGCCUCCGUAUUAUCUACCCUUCGGCAUUUCUUCAUGACUCAUCUGUGUACUUAGUUGAAUAGGGAACAGUUAUCAAGUCAACCACAGGAUUUUGCAAACCACCUUAGCAUCGUUGUAGGUAUCCCAGUCAAACACACCUACUCUUUCUGCAGGGAUAAGGAAAGAAAAUGCUGGAAAUGGAUGGUGAUAUGAUCUGAUGUAGAGGAUCCCCUUGCAAGGAGAAAUUGAAAAAAAGAAAGAAGGAUGCUCUAGUUUCCCACCACCACCAUGAAGACUUCUGCAGUUUUGCUUGCGCUAUGAGGAAUAGCUUCAUUUCUAGCCUUCUGAGUGAUUUAGGAACAGGCUGUGAGAAAUGUCUUCGCUGCAGCAUAGGGACAAGUGGCAAUUGUGGAUUUAGCCCAAAGCAGGAUACGUUUAUCAGUUCUGCCUCCUGCAAGGAGAGGAAGAAGGUGGCAAGGAUGAGGCUGAGGGACUGCUGUGCUCUUCUGCAGGUGGCACAGUUCCAGUCAGCCAGGGCAAUUUGACAAGCACAGGGAGAGCAUGUUGCAAACAGCUCUCAGGCUUGCAACAGAGACCUGCUUGUUUCCCCUGUUUAAUUUGGGAACCAUGCAUCCAAGCACACUUGGUAUGUCUCCAUGCGUAAGCCUAUACUGCAGCCUAUUGAUUUCCUUCACCCUUGGCAAGAGUAUCACAGCGGAUUUUGGCUUUGCCUGUAAUCUCUUGAGCGGAUGAGACUAGAAAUUCAAAUGAGAGCUUAACUCACUGACUGUCUGCACUGCCCACAUGAUGGUUGCUCCUUUGGCUCUGGUCUGGAGAAAGUCAGCUGUCUGUUUGGGCAAGAAAACUUGGGUAUGGGGUAAGCACGACUGGUUCCCAUCUGCACUGUGGGUCUACAGACAUUGUGGAUGAAACUGGUUCCAGGGACUUGGCUCUGUGAACCAAAUCCGGAACAUGAGCACAUCUCCCAAAGGCUGCAUAGGUAGAGGCUCUGUUAUUUUUGACAUGUAUAUGGUUUUAAUCUGGAAGUAAGCCUCUGAAUGCAGCCACCUGGCUCCCCAACAGUACUGUGCAUUGCUUAACAAUGUGAGCAGAAGAUACUGGAUCCAUUUCUUCCCCCCCACCUGUGCCAGAACCAACCACAGAAAAUAAGAGUUCAUGAUGAGGAACUAACAUCAUAUUUUUGGGAUGGCUAUUUUAUUGCCAUACGGUUUUAGUAGGAAUAAUGGUCACCCAUGCAGUAGAAGGCUUGAAGCUUCAGUCUGUGGCUUCUUCAGAGAGCUAUUUUUUUUUUGAUAACACAGCUUUGUUUGCAAUGUGGCUUCCUCAAAGCUUUUCAACUUGGAAGUGCUGUCUGUCCUCUUGGAUUUUCCUGCCCUGAAUAAAACUAACCAUAACAAGUGAAAAUACAGACAAAUAUGUAUUUGCAAAAAGGGAGUAAAGCAGAUAUGAAGGCAGCCCAAAAUUCAAUUCCAUGAUUAAUAUGUUAACCAAAACAAAAUUUUAUAUCUUGCUUCAUAGCUUGAAAGUCCACCAAAACCAGUGCCCUGAGCCAUCAUCAAUGGAGAGUGGUGGGAUGUUUACCAGUUUCUUUGUGAUUUUAUUUAUUUCUUAAAAGAAUAAUGAUUAAAAGAAAGGCAAGAAUCAAAAUAAUAGUCCCAGGUGUCAGAUGUCUUUCUAAUUUCUUCUAAUUGUGAAAGGAAGUGAUGCUCUUUUUAAGUAAGUAUUGUCAUGCAGUCUGUUCUCUACUUUGAAUUACCUAGAGAAGUCUUGAAUUAAUAUUUUCUGUAUUGGUGAAUUUCAAAUAUAUUUCUAUUUGUGCCAUGCCUUUUGUAGAUGAGUAAAGCUCCUCCAGCAAACACGCAGUGCUUAAAGUUACUGAAUUAAUCGAGAAGAUGUCAGUUUGAUUUAACGGAAUGAGAACUGGAGCUCCAGCAUUCAGUGCUUGGGGACCUGAAUCACUGGUGCAAGAGAGAGUUGGGAAAGGAGGAAGUUUGCCUCUUGCAUAUGAGUCACCAUAUGUUACUGUCAGAGUCUAAAAUGGAAUCAUGACAAUCACAUGUAUCCAGGAAAUGGACUAAAAAAGGCUGCUGUCAGUAAGAUUCAUUAAAUCCCCCUUCUCUUACAUGCUAUGACCUUCUCAAUGUUUUUAGGAAGUCAGGGAAUUAUAUUCCUGAAGUUGUUACAGUAGCUUGUUUUAACAGUAUUGAAGUAGGCAUCUUUGUCUAUAACCUCUUAGGAGUUUGAAAUGUUUAAUUUAGUGGUACUUAAUAAGUCUUCACAGA